UCGUGGAGUGAUCUGUCUGGUUAAUUCCGCUAACGAACGAGACUCUGACUUGCUGAUUGUAAGGAGCCCGGUGUCCGUAAGGCCCGGGGCAAGUCUGCUUCAGAAGGAGCAGCGUCUACCAAGGCGCGAGAGCGAGAGCAAUAACA
rnacentral:rRNA from 1 species